CAGCUGUAAACGAUGCUCGCUAGGUGUCAGGUGCGGUGCGACCGCAUCUGGUGCCGCAGUGAAAACUUGAAGCGAGUCACCUGGGAAGUACGGUCGCAAGGCUGAAACUUAAAGGAAUUGGCGGGGGAGCACUACAACGGGUGGAGCCUGCGGUUC
rnacentral:rRNA from 1 species